GUGCUGCUCAGUUUUACGUGUGUUUGCUUAACUCAACGACAGAUACUUGGUUCUGAAUCUGAGAGAAUGAGUUAAGACAGGUUUUGAUCGACAGCUUCGUUCGUUUGUUCUUAGAGAGAGAGAGAGAGGAUAGGAGCAGGGUACGCAUUUUGUAUGUUUUCGUUCUUCUAAAAACCCCCGGCGUCGACAAAUCUCCCGAUUCUAAGAUAGAUAAUCAAGGAAAGAGGAGAAUGAAUAGCAGGACCGGUCUAUCCCAGCGAGAAGAUGAAGUUCGGAGGAUUGUGUGUGUGUGUGUGUGUGUCUGACAUUGAUCAACAGGAAAAGAGGCUAGAAGAGGAAGAGGCAGAAGCACAGUUAAAUAUGGAGCUUACUGAAGAGGUUGCUCAUGCUAAAAUGGCUAGAAACUUACGCAACAAGAUUCAUGGUAACUGCAUUGAUAAAUGAUGAAACUGAAGAAGCAUCAAGCAGAGGAACUAUUUGGUACAACAUGUGAAGACCUCAUCCUGAACAAAAAUCAUGACAAUCCAAAUAUACUACCACUAGAAGUUCUCUGAACAGAAGGACAAAUCAAACUGCUGGAACUCGAAAUAGGCACUGCACAAAAUGUGAUUGUCAAGGCAAUCCAUGAAGAUAUUCAUGGACUAACUCCAACGCAGAGAAUUCAGCCCUCAAACUCAACACCCAACAGCAUCCAGCCCUCAAACUCAACACCCAACAAAGUUGCAACAUCAAAAAGAAGGAACAUUGAAUCGUCUGACAAGCAACUUUCCAAAACACAUCCAAGCAAAAAUCUCAAAACGGGCGACAUCUCCACAGAUUCACUUGAAGACUCAUCUGAAGACUUGAUGUAAAUAGUUAACAAUCUUCACAUGUUUUGGCCAAGCCUAACCAUUUUUUGCACAAUGUACAUAAACAACUACUUGGUUAGCAUAUCUAUUUUUGGAAAUCUGGCAAAGAUACCAGAUUUGCAAUCUGGAAAAGGCACCAGAUUUUUGGUUAGCAUCUGUAGCCUUUGACAUCUGGCCAUAACGUAGUUUCAAUGUAAUAUAUCUAUAACUUAGAACAGUGUAUUUCAAUGUACUAUAUCUAUAAUAUAGAACAAUGUAUAAUGUA